CCGACCACGUUUCAGUUACCCAAUUCAUUUCUUCCGUGUCUCUACCUCUCGCCUCGGUCACUAUGUCUCUUAGUCCUUCGCUACAGCAUUGGCGCGAGGAUUUGGUGGAAUUGGAGAUGGUGAAGGAGAAGAAUGUGAAGAGAUGGGUUUUAGUGGGUGCUGUGAUUGUGGUCUUAUUAGCCAUAGCUCUCACCUCUACCAGAGAUUUUAAUUCUAAACUCAACCUUGCUCUGUUUUUCAAGAAUCCCAGUUCCUGCCAAUGUCCUCAGGAUUCAAAGAAAUACAGUGGCAUUGUUGAGGACUGCUGUUGUGAUUAUGAAACGGUGGACAGUGUUAAUGCAGAAGUGUUGCAUCCUCUGCUACAAGAGAUUGUUAAAACUCCGUUUUUUCGAUAUUUUAAGGCCAAGCUGUGGUGUGACUGUCCCUUCUGGACUGAAGAUGGUAUGUGCCUCCUGCAUGACUGCAGCAUCUGCGAAUGCCCAGAAAAUGAAUUUCCGGAACCUUUCAAGAGGCCCUUUCACCGUGGCCUUCCAUCCGACAGUUUGGUUUGUCAAGAUGAUAAGCUGCAGGGGUCUGUUGACCGCACUCUAGACAGUAGAGCUUUCAGAGGCUGGAUUGAGACAGAUAACCCUUGGACAAAUGAUGACGAGACUGAUAAUGAUGAGAUGACAUAUGUGAACCUUCUACUGAACCCUGAACGUUACACUGGCUAUACUGGUCCAUCAGCAAGAAGGAUAUGGGAUGCUGUUUAUUCUGAAAAUUGCCCAAAAUAUUCAUCUCAGGACAUUUGCCAGGAGCAAAGAGUAUUGUACAAAUUAAUAUCGGGUCUUCACUCGUCAAUUUCAAUCCACAUAGCUGCUGAUUAUCUUCUAGACAAGAUUACCAAUCUGUGGGGUCAAAACAUGGAAUUGAUGUAUGAUCGCGUUUUAAAAUAUCCAGAUCGUGUUCAGAAUUUGUACUUCGCAUUCCUCUUUGUUCUCCGGGCAGUGACAAAAGCUGCAGAUUACUUAGAGCAGGCUGAGUAUGAUACAGGUAAUCACGAGGAAGACCUGAGAACAGAGUCUUUGAUGAGGCAGCUACUUUACAAUCCUAAACUCCAAGCUGCAUGUCCCCUACCGUUUGAUGAAGCAAAGCUCUGGAAAGGUCAGAGCGGACCACAAUUGAAGCAACAAAUUCAAAAGAAAUUCAGAAACAUUAGUGCAUUAAUGGAUUGUGUGGGAUGUGAGAAAUGUCGGCUCUGGGGAAAGCUUCAAGUUCUUGGUCUUGGUACUGCAUUGAAGAUCCUCUUUUCUGUUGAUGGUAAAAAUCAUCAAGAUCAACCUCUGCAGCUGCAACGAAAUGAAGUGAUUGCUCUCGUAAAUCUGCUAAAUCGACUCUCUGAAUCUGUCAAAUAUGCUUGUCAAAGCGGACAUUCAAUCAAGAAAGUAGCGGAAGGAGGACGAGUUGUUGAACCUUAUUCUAUACAAACAAUCAGUACAUUGCAAAGAAUAUGGGAGGCGGUGAUCCCAAUCAGGCUUAGGUUAGGGAUGUUAGCACUGUAACAAUUCUAGAGCAAAUGUAAAGCAUACACUGAGUCACUGACUGGAGUAUGUCUAUGAUCGAUCAUUUAAUAUCAGAUGAAAUCAUGGACCAAGUUUUGAGAAUUACAGAUAAAAAGCUUCAACCAUACACUGGACAGAGCUUACAUCAGAAUGAAUUCCUGAGAACGUGGUGAAUACCUAAACUGAACUCGGUGAAUUUUCCGAGUUUUAGUUGAUCCAGUUUAUGAACAAAAUUAUAGACCAAACCAAAGCUGGAGUUGGCAUGGCAAUCAGAGAUACAAUACCAAAGUUGAAAUUAAUGGGAAGCUACUUUCAGAUGCAACUGAGGCUUCAAUACUGACAGCAAUAAUUCGUGAUAUAGUGAUAUGGCCCAAAUGAUUUCCUACAAAUGUAAUGUAGAGGAAAUAAAUGAACAUAUGAAAAUCAAUUACAGAAAACUAAAUAAAAAUCAGUUGUAGACAUAUCUUAAGUUCACUCAGUG